rnacentral:rRNA from 1 species
CCUACGGGAGGCAGCAGUGGGGAAUUUUGGACAAUGGGCGAAAGCCUGAUCCAGCCAUGCCGCGUGAGUGAAGAAGGCCUUCGGGUUGUAAAGCUCUUUUAGUCGGAAAGAAAGAGUUGCAAUGAAUAAUUGUGAUUUAUGACGGUACCGACAGAAAAAGCACCGGCUAACUACGUGCCAGCAGCCGCGGUAAUACGUAGGGUGCGAGCGUUAAUCGGAAUUACUGGGCGUAAAGGGUGCGCAGGCGGUCUUGCAAGUCAGAUGUGAAAGCCCCGGGCUUAACCUGGGAAUUGCGUUUGAAACUACAAGGCUAGAGUGCAGCAGAGGGGAGUGGAAUUCCAUGUGUAGCAGUGAAAUGCGUAGAGAUGUGGAAGAACACCGAUGGCGAAGGCAGCUCCCUGGGUUGACACUGACGCUCAUGCACGAAAGCGUGGGGARCAAACAGGAUUAGAUACCCUGGUAGUCCACGCCCUAAACGAUGUCAACUAGUUGUCGGAUCUAAUUAAGGAUUUGGUAACGUAGCUAACGCGUGAAGUUGACCGCCUGGGGAGUACGGUCGCAAGAUUAAAACUCAAAGGAA